UACGUAGGGUGCAAGCGUUAAUCGGAAUUACUGGGCGUAAAGCGUGCGCAGGCGGUUAUGUAAGACAGAUGUGAAAAUGCCCGGGCUUAACCUGGGAACUGCAUUUGUGACUGCAUGGCUAGAGUUUGGCAGAGGGGGGGGUAGAAUUCCACGUGUAGCAGUGAAAUGCGUAGAUAUGUGGAGGAACACCGAUGGCGAAGGCAGCCCCCCUGGGGUCAAGACUGACGCUACAUGCACGAAGCGUGGGGAGCAAACGAAGGAUAGAGUACCCUGA
rnacentral:rRNA from 1 species